rnacentral:rRNA from 1 species
AGUGGGGGAUAACGUAGCGAAAGUUACGCUAAUACCGCAUAUGCCCUGAGGGGGAAAGGGGGGGAUCGUAAGACCUCUCGCUUUCGGAGUGGCCGAUAUCGGAUUAGCUAGUUGGUGAGGUAAAAGCUCACCAAGGCGACGAUCCGUAGCGGGUCUGAGAGGAUGAUCCGCCACACUGGGACUGAGACACGGCCCAGACUCCUACGGGAGGCAGCAGUGGGGAAUUUUGGACAAUGGGCGCAAGCCUGAUCCAGCCAUGCCGCGUGAGUGAAGAAGGCCUUCGGGUUGUAAAGCUCUUUCAGCUGGAAAGAAAACGUAUCUAUUAAUACUAGGUGCGGAUGACGGUACCAGCAGAAGAAGCACCGGCUAACUACGUGCCAGCAGCCGCGGUAAUACGUAGGGUGCGAGCGUUAAUCGGAAUUACUGGGCGUAAAGCGUGCGCAGGCGGCUUUUUAAGCCAGAUGUGAAAUCCCCGGGCUUAACCUGGGAACUGCAUUUGGAACUGGAAGGCUAGAGUGUAGCAGAGGGGGGUAGAAUUCCA